ACACAUGAGGUCCUGCCUCUGCGGGGAUUUACAGUCUGAUGGAAGAGGCAGGCAUUCAGCAGAGCAUCAUCCAAUCAAUGACCCCUGGAAGCUCAGACAACAUGAGAAAACCACACAAUGAUGGCAGCUGAUCACUCCAGAUGCUGAAGGCGAAGCCUCAGUCACGACAGCCCGAGGCAGUCUGUACCAGACAUUUUGCCCUCAGAAAAGAUGCUGCAACCAUUUCCACCUAAGCCAGAAGGAAGCGCGAGCCCCUGGUGGUCGGGCUGAAUUACUACUACAACUGGUACUAAAGAGUACUGAAAGGACGCACCAUGGAAGGAAGAGAUCGAAAAAUCUGACUGAAUCACAACAAAGAUGAUCUUAAGAGUCCACAAGCUAUGAGAAAAUAAACAGAAAACCUUGAAUGGGAAAAGAUACCACACUGUGAUCAAUA